rnacentral:lncRNA from 1 species
GCGCCCUGCACGCCCGCCAGCACGCCCGCCGCCACCAGCGCCAGCACGCCGGCGUCCGUGGAGCCGUCGCUGGCCAGGAAGGCGGCGCCGCAGGCCAGGUUGGCGGCAAAGAGGCCCAGGUUGAUGGCGUUCUUGCCGGGCAGCGACAGCGGGUCGGACUUGAGCACGCCGUGCAGCUUGCCAAAGGCAAUGGCGGAGCCGGUCAUGGUCACGGCGCCGAUGAAGUCGCCCAGGUAGGCAAUGACCUGUUGAGGGGUGGGGAGGGGGGGCAUGGUGGGUGAGUUGGGUGGGGAGUCAGCCGGCAGUUGCGGCGGAGCUCCCAACAUACAAACAAAGCAACCCCUGCUGCAAUGUUUGCAGUGU